UACAGAGACGUCGAGCGUUGUUCGGAUUCAUUGGGCGUAAAGGGUGCGUAGGCGGUCGGGCAAGUCGGAUGUGAAAUCCCAGAGCUUAACUUUGGAAGUGCAUCCGAAACUACCUGGCUUGAGGACUGGAGGGGAGACUGGAAUUCUCGGUGUAGCGGUGAAAUGCGUAGAUAUCGAGAGGAACACCUGUGGCGAAGGCGGGUCUCUGGACAGUUCCUGACGCUGAGGCACGAAAGCCAGGGUAGCAAACGGG
rnacentral:rRNA from 1 species